rfam:Lutispora thermophila DSM 19022 genome assembly, contig: EJ66DRAFT_scaffold00042.42
UAACAUGAGAGUUUGAUCCUGGCUCAGGACGAACGCUGGCGGCGUGCCUAACACAUGCAAGUCGAACGGAGAUGGUGGGAUAGCUUGCUAUUUUAUCAUCUUAGUGGCGGACGGGUGAGUAACACGUGGGCAACCUGCCCUAAAGAGGGGGAUAACACCGAGAAAUCGGUGCUAAUACCGCAUGAAAUUAGAGUUUCGCAUG